GGUGAGAGAGUCUCUUUCUGAGACAGUAGAGGCCAGUGAAACCAGACAUGAUCCCUAGACCUCACAGUUUAAAGAAAGAAAACCUCAAAUCCCUUUCAGCAUCUAAACCAAGGAAUUUCAAAGAAAUGUUCAAGCACAUGCACAAAGAGGAGGCAAUUGUCUAGAGAGCCCUCAAGAGACUGGAUUAGGUUUCGGCUGAUCUUGUACAGAUGCCCACAAAACAAUAGGAAUGUUUUGUUGAAUAAAAGUGCUACAUAGCGAACAAAUCCCAAA